rnacentral:sRNA from 1 species
ACAUAUUUACUAUUCUUGGUUAAUAACAAAUUCCAAACUCAAUACAAAUGUAGUUGGGAAAAUUCUUUCAAUUGAAGGUUCAAACCUUAGUGACCUUACUUCAAUAAACCAAAUCAUUGUCAAAUUAUGGUUCCAACCUUAAGUUUCUAUUUUGAUUGUCUAAGACUUUUUUCCCUACAUUUCAAUUAUCUUUACUCAUAACUAAACAAAUUACUUUAAACAUUCUACACCAAUAUGUUGUCUCCUCAUCUCUUUGGGUUCAAACUGCUUCUCGCCUUCCAGCCAUCCAUCCAGUGUCUCUGUUAAUCCAACAAUUCUAGAAUGUAAGAUUAUUUUAUAAUUAUAAACAGAAUGUUUUAGAUUUCCUAAUUAAGCUUUGCACGCAUGCACAUAUUUUUUGAUGGAACCAUAUACACGAGGUUUUUUUCCAACCACCAUAUUGGUCGAAUCUCUAAGUUUAUGAAUCAGUAAGUUUAUUUUAUAAUUUUUCACUUCAAAA